rnacentral:rRNA from 1 species
CUUGGUGUUACUGCGAAGGGGGGACGGAGAAGGCUAUGUUGGCCGGGCGACGGUUGUCCCGGUUUAAGCGUGUAGGUGUGUGUUCCAGGUAAAUCCGGUUCACUUUAACACUGAGGCGUGACGACGAGGCACUACGGUGCUGAAGCAACAAAUGCCCUGCUUCCAGGAAAAGCCUCUAAGCAUCAGGUAACAUCAAAUCGUACCCCAAACCGACACAGGUGGUCAGGUAGAGAAUACCAAGGCGCUUGAGAGAACUCGGGUGAAGGAACUAGGCAAAAUGGUGCCGUAACUUCGGGAGAAGGCACGCUGACACGUAGGUGAAGUGAUUUACUCAUGGAGCUGAAGUCAGUCGAAGAUACCAGCUGGCUGCAACUGUUUAUUAAAAACACAGCACUGUGCAAACACGAAAGUGGACGUAUACGGUGUGACGCCUGCCCGGUGCCGGAAGGUUAAUUGAUGGGGUCAGCGCAAGCGAAGCUCCUGAUCGAAGCCCCGGUAAACGGCGGCCGUAACUAUAACGGUCCUAAGGUAGCGAAAUUCCUUGUCGGGUAAGUUCCGACCUGCACGAAUGGCGUAAUGAUGGCCAGGCUGUCUCCACCCGAGACUCAGUGAAAUUGAACUCGCUGUGAAGAUGCAGUGUACCCGCGGCAAGACGGAAAGACCCCGUGAACCUUUACUAUAGCUUGACACUGAACAUUGAGCCUUGAUGUGUAGGAUAGGUGGGAGGCUUUGAAGUGUGGACGCCAGUCUGCAUGGAGCCGACCUUGAAAUACCACCCUUUAAUGUUUGAUGUUCUAACGUGGACCCGUAAUCCGGGUUGCGGACAGUGUCUGGUGGGUAGUUUGACUGGGGCGGUCUCCUCCUAAAGAGUAACGGAGGAGCACGAAGGUUGGCUAAUCCUGGUCGGACAUCAGGAGGUUAGUGCAAUGGCAUAAGCCAGCUUGACUGCGAGCGUGACGGCGCGAGCAGGUGCGAAAGCAGGUCAUAGUGAUCCGGUGGUUCUGAAUGGAAGGGCCAUCGCUCAACGGAUAAAAGGUACUCCGGGGAUAACAGGCUGAUACCGCCCAAGAGUUCAUAUCGACGGCGGUGUUUGGCACCUCGAUGUCGGCUCAUCACAUCCUGGGGCUGAAGUAGGUCCCAAGGGUAUGGCUGUUCGCCAUUUAAAGUGGUACGCGAGCUGGGUUUAGAACGUCGUGAGACAGUUCGGUCCCUAUCUGCCGUGGGCGCUGGAGAACUGAGGGGGGCUGCUCCUAGUACGAGAGGACCGGAGUGGACGCAUCACUGGUGUUCGGGUUGUCAUGCCAAUGGCACUGCCCGGUAGCUAAAUGCGGAAGAGAUAAGUGCUGAAAGCAUCUAAGCACGAAACUUGCCCCGAGAUGAGUUC